UAACGCGUGAGGAACCUGCCUCAAAGAGGGGGACAACAGUUGGAAACGACUGCUAAUACCGCAUAAGCCCACGGGUCGGCAUCGACCAGAGGGAAAAGGAGCAAUCCGCUUUGAGAUGGCCUCGCGUCCGAUUAGCUAGUUGGUGAGGUAACGGCCCACCAAGGCGACGAUCGGUAGCCGGACUGAGAGGUUGAACGGCCACAUUGGGACUGAGACACGGCCCAGACUCCUACGGGAGGCAGCAGUGGGGAAUAUUGCACAAUGGGGGAAACCCUGAUGCAGCGACGCCGCGUGGAGGAAGAAGGUCUUCGGAUUGUAAACUCCUGUUGUUGGGGAAGAUAAUGACGGUACCCAACAAGGAAGUGACGGCUAACUACGUGCCAGCAGCCGCGGUAAAACGUAGGUCACAAGCGUUGUCCGGAAUUACUGGGUGUAAAGGGAGCGCAGGCGGGAAGACAAGUUGGAAGUGAAAUCUAUGGGCUCAACCCAUAAACUGCUUUCAAAACUGUUUUUCUUGAGUAGUGCAGAGGUAGGCGGAAUUCCCGGUGUAGCGGUGGAAUGCGUAGAUAUCGGGAGGAACACCAGUGGCGAAGGCGGCCUACUGGGCACCAACUGACGCUGAGGCUCGAAAGUGUGGGUAGCAAACAGGAUUAGAUACCCUGGUAGUCCACACCGUAAACGAUGAUUACUAGGUGUUGGAGGAUUGACCCCUUCAGUGCCGCAGUUAACACAAUAAGUAAUCCACCUGGGGAGUACGACCGCAAGGUUGAAACUCAAAGGAAUUGACGGGGGCCCGCACAAGCAGUGGAGUAUGUGGUUUAAUUCGACGCAACGCGAAGAACCUUACCAAGUCUUGACAUCCCUUGACAGGCAUAGAAAUAUGUUUUCUCUUCGGAGCAAGGAGACAGGUGGUGCAUGGUUGUCGUCAGCUCGUGUCGUGAGAUGUUGGGUUAAGUCCCGCAACGAGCGCAACCCUUAUGGUCAGUUACUACGCAAGAGGACUCUGGCCAGACUGCCGUUGACAAAACGGAGGAAGGUGGGGAUGACGUCAAAUCAUCAUGCCCUUUAUGACUUGGGCUACACACGUACUACAAUGGCGUUAAACAAAGAGAAGCGAGACCGCGAGGUCGAGCAAAACUCAGAAACAACGUCCCAGUUCGGACUGCAGUCUGCAACUCGCCUGCACGAAGUCGGAAUUGCUAGUAAUCGUGA
rnacentral:rRNA from 1 species